rnacentral:lncRNA from 1 species
GGACAGUUGAGGACAAACAAUGCACAGCCAUGCAUCUCUACCUCCAUUGAUAUUGAAUCUUUUAUUUCUCCAAAAUCUUUUCCACUCCAAACUUCUCUGCCGAAACAUGACGUCGCAUUCAAGUUUUUCCCAGGAAGUGCCUUAGUCAGGUCUGAUAUCGUUGCUGAUAUUACUGUCUUCUCUGAGUUCAGAUUGAAAAGUGCAACAUAAAUCUCUCCUGAGUAAACAGUGGCAAAGUCAGUACUGAAUUAUUAAGAGCAACAGACACAUGUGAUAUGCCAUAAAAGUUUUCAGACAAUGAACUCAGCAUGGUAUGGUUGGAUACUACCAGAUCAGUGUCAUAGUAGACACAGAAGUUGGCAGCUAGAAGAAGAAGAUCAUUAAUUCUCUUUAAAUUAGGCAACUUGGAACUUGAUAAAAUGAAUAUAUAUUUACGUAAUCAAUGAAGCAUGAAUAUAGAUAAAGAGCAGACAAUUUUCCACCUCAGUUACAAGGACAAAAAAAACCAGUUAGAUUUAAAAUAGCAUCCCUUCACUAAGGAGGACAAUUAUAAUUAUCUUACGAUAACCGAUGAUGAGCAUAUGGCUCAGUGGUAGAGAUCUCUUGUUCAAGUCUCAUCUCUGUCAAAACUUCAACAAAAAUCCGAACAUAGUCAUCUAAAAAAGAAAAACCAUCUCAGGGUUGAAGUUUCUUAUCAAACCACAAACUUCUUUGGGUUCUUUUAAAAAGAAAAAAACAGCAAAGGAAUGGUAACAGAAUGGAAACCAAAUUUAUAGAGACUUUAGGGGGGCAUUAAACCUUUUCUACCAGUAGCAAUCCAAGAGCGAACUCCUCCGCUGUUACCAACAUUAGCUGCAUAUAUCAAGGAAGGAUCAUCAAAUAGCCCUUAUCGUAUGUAUAGAAAAUCAGCUUCAACUUCUAGCAUAAUACCGUCAAUUGAUUUCACAGUUACACAGAGACCAGAAUAGCUGCUGAUAAGGGAUCCAUUAUUGCUCAACUCCCACAUCUGUUGAAAUUAAGAGUUUGCUUUCAAAUACCACUCAUAUAUGUAAAAUUCAUGAGAAAAAAAUGUCACCCUGCAGACUGGCUGUGAGCAGAAAAACACAAGCAUUCUGGCAAACCAAUUAAUUAUAUGUAUUUGUUAAAUUGUUUGAUGUAGAUUUAUCUCCUUUGCAUUCCACCAAAAUCUUACAGGAUACUAACCUCUGUGCCUCUUUGUUAGAUGCUAGGGAAUUGUGAAUGAAGAGAUACCUGGUUGGCAUCUGAUCUGCAAGGGGAGAAGGAACCACUGUUAAAUUCUUUUGAAGUACGCUUCUUUCUUGGAGAUGCAUCCAAACAAAACUCCAUUUCAUGACUAGCUAAUAAAUGGAACCCUCCUUGAUUGGAAAUUAACCGUCCAUCACUACAUUGCCAUUCACAGAAUCAGAUAGUGAAAAUAAUAAUAAUAACUCCUUGUUUGGAACAACUUGAAUAAGGAAGGUGAAAGUGCAUACGAAGUCAAAAUUCGCUUGUAUAGGCAUAAAGGUUCAUGGCUUCUCAUGCUCUCUUUCCAGCAUAUCUGGUCAAGAUCUUGGUCAAGUGCUUUAAUUGACCAACCGUUAACUUUGGGAUGGUUACAGCUAGUGAAACCCAGAAACUGUGUAUGUGAUGUGCCAACUUCCUUCAAACUUCUUCUCAAUCUUCGGCUGUGAUUCGUGGUCUUAUGUGCAGAAACCUUUGUGCCAGUAACAAAUGGAAACUGCAUGUGCAAUGCGAUGAUACAUCAGAAAAAAACUCAGUUAAUAUUCCAAAGACCUCUUAAAGACAUUGUUUCACAUGCCUCCAUAUUGUUCGUGCUAAAAGAAUUUAUUUCCAGAAUGAAGGGAUUGGUGAUCAAAUUAGAUGUGGUCUCAUCAAGCCUUCUAACAUCUCCUCCAAACAUGAUAGGGGAUCUGGCCAUUGCCCACAAAGUCAUCUGUGAAGGAAAAUACUUGUAUCGAGUCAUCAAUAAAGAAUCUUAAUCUUUUAACAAACAACGGACGCACAUAUAGAGUUGCAUGUACAUACCUGGGUUUUCUGCUCAUCUAGAUUAAGGUUACUCAUUCUGUAUGGUCCUCUGCCAGAACCUAGGAUACAGAAAAGCAAUGUGAUUAUUCAAGUUUUUGUCUUUUCCAGUAGAACUCUUAACACUUUCAAGUUAAUCAUGAAUACCCCAGCAACUUAUGUGGCAAACCCCUAGACCCAAGGAAAAAACAGGUCCAGAUGUAUUACUUUUCAAUGAUUGUCACUAGGAUGUGUGCCGUUCCAGUUAAUUACCAUGAUAAACACUCGUGCAUGGACAAGCUAUGCAAUUUUGCUACCCCAAUGUAACAGCAAGCAUUCCACUACUUCGUUCAAUUUACAUGUCAGCAAUCCAUGUUGCAAUCAGCUUUUCCUAUACUCAGUCUCACCAACCCCUUACAAAAUAAAAUCACUUAAAAUGUACUAGAAUUAAAGAGAACAAUCUGCUAAUUUUUAUCACCAGGAUCUGUAAGCCAUCCUAUGGGCAGCAUAUCCAAGUCAGGCCAUGACCUCCCCAGCAAGCCCUUCGCACCAAUCUUAUUAUCAGCAGCAAAGUCCCUGAAGUAGAUGAACAAGAAAUCACAUAAAAAAUGAGAGAAUAGAAGAAAAGCACCAAUUAGGAGCGAUGAUCUAUAUAUAAUUCGAACUUUAAGCUCUUAUUUUACAUGAAAACUUUAUUCCACCUUGAAACAUCAAAAUGAGCUGCAACAUCUCCCCAUGUAUCCCAAUCAUCACCUGUGACCCUGUACAUGUUGACUAACCCACUUAUAUCUUUCUCCAUGACUGGUGUCGGGAUAACUCCCGGAGACACAGAAUACAGAAUGGGACGACUGAGCUUUUGCAGAACCUGAACAAGUGCACUUCAUGUAUCAUCAUCUCUAUUCAGAAAAGAUUGAAGACAUAAAAUUUAUGCACCAGAAAGUGCUGUAUACCUCUGACACAAAUGUUAUUUCAUCUACAUCCAAGUCAUUACCAAAUACACAAUCAUGUUUCACUGCAAAUAAAAGAGAAGAAACGAACAUGAAAAUUAUUAAAACAAAGAAAGACUGACAUGAAGCCACUAAGAAAAUGCAGAGGUAUAAAUAACAGGAGGGGAGAUUGAAAUGUGCAGAAUUCACAGCUUUGUAAUAAAUACGAGUCAAAAUUACUAUCCAUAAGAAGCUUGCCCGAGCCUAAAAUGCUUGAAGAGGUCAAAACUCUACUAGACUCGCAAUAUUACUAUCCAGUCCUUCCAGGACCUUCAACAUACAUUCCCCACAUCAUUAUAGAAACAAUAUUUCUUCCAUGCUUCCAAAAAUGGAAUUCUCGAAAGAUGCAAUGCUGCUUUGACAAGUUAUUUUACCAUUUUUAAUCAGUAAAAAGAAAAAUUCAUUCUCUAUAAAAUGUUGAGACUUGAGAUACACCCUUUUGGACUCACAGGCUUCUUAAUGUGUUGGGUAAGAUGGAAAAAUGCAGGUUUCAGUUAAUUAUUAAUUACCAAAAUCAACACCCCACUCAGCAUACUGUUCAUAAAGUGACCUCAAGAAGGCUCUUCCUGCUCCCAACUUAGUAUUUACACUCAUGAAACCAUGUGGCAUCCAUCCACAAGCCCUCUCCGUGAUCCCUAUGUCUUUUGCUCGCCACAGUCGUCCAGACUCUUCAUAAGCACGUCCCUAAUAAAAAUAGAAAUUUAGCAUUAACUUUUUAGAGCAAAUCGAUUAGAAACUUGAGCUCAUAUUGCACCUUUCACCUGACUAGUCUAUUUUUAUGAUGACAGUGUUUGUGAGACUGUAAAAUCUGAGCAUGGAAGGGAAAAGAGAAGAAAUACUUCUCCUGCUGAAAAAAAAAUGAAAAGAAGAGAGAAGAAUGAACCCUCUUUGAUAAUAAGGAAUAAUACCGUGGUAGUAUCCAAGAUGGGGGUGUUCGCAUCAUAUGCCUGUCUACUUAAUCCUCUCAUAACAUGAAUCCCAAGCUUCAAACCCACGCUCUGUACUUUCUGGGCUACUUCAGUGAACCCUUUCCCAUCUUCAGAUGAGGGCCACCUAUCUGGAUCAGGGAUCAACCUCCCCCAUUCAUCAAUUACAUCAAAUCCAAGAGAAUUUGGGUAAGCACCUGGAACGUUCUUCCUAUACCACAGGUAAUCUAUAACUGCAUACUACAUGGAAUUUCACAGAUAAAAGACAACUUCUAUUUCAAUAAACUUUCCGUUCUCAAAUUGUUCCAGUAAUUAAAAAAGUUCUAAAAGUUGAUUGUAGUCAUCAGUCAUUUUAUACCUCAUAUCCAUAAGGCUGUAGACGCUGAGAUAUCUUUUCGGCACUUUGCAAGAAGUCUACUUCAGAUAGAAUCCAGUCAAAGGAAUCGUAAGAGUUCCAACCUCGAGGAGGGAAGCUAGCGUGCUCAGGUUGAGAUGAUACCCUAAAACAGGUUGUGUACAAAUGUUUUAAGUUCACAAACUAUAUUUAGCCAAGAAAGCCUUCAAAACAAAUGUUGGAACAAUUAUGGGAUUGAAAAAAAAGAAGCAUGAUCGUGUAUUCUUCAAUUCAAUGUCCUAUGAUGAUCAUCAAAGACUAAAGAAGACAGUUUAUCGAAAUAGUAAAAUUUAAGAAUGAGUUGCAGUGCUAUUUAGUUAGUAAUUUUUUUUUUUUUUAGUUUUGAAAGUACUUGUCUUGCUUCAAAGAAUCAAAUGUAAAAAUGGUUUUCUUAUCUCAAAACCAGAGAAGGAAAUUUACAACAAACACUGGAAUAUAUCUACCAGCCAACUCCAAUGUGAAUCAUAACAGUAGUGAAGAGAAGAAACAUAGAGAGAGAAACACCUGUAACGAUAAGAACUGAAGGAGAAGAGAAACAGAGAGCUCAGCAGUUGGAUCCUCAUUGUUUUAGUAUACUGAAACGCAAAGGCAACCCUUCUUCCUAGCUAUCUACGACAAGGUGAGAGCGUAUCUCAUAUAGAGCAAACAUACCCAAGGCUAAUUAGUCAAACACUGUAAAAGGUUUAGCAUCACUCAACUAGGAAAGAAAGUAUAUGGUAUCAGAUGAGGCACCCAAAAAAUCAUGCAGCCAACACCGAAUCAUGACAUCAUCCCAUUUAUGAAAAUCGUCAGUAUAUCUAAAUUCCUAUGGCCUAUAUAAUUAAGUACAUGAAAGGAAACAAAUAUUCAAACUAAAUUAUGAUCCAAGGAAAACGGAUAUAGUAUAUAAGGGAAUUAAUCAAAUAUAAUAUCCUGCAGAACAAUCUUAAAAUAAUGUAAGGAACCAAAUAUUAUGUAAGGAAACUGAAUAUAUUUUAUCACUAUUAGAAAAUUAGAAGAAGAAAAAUAAAACAAAUUAUUAUUAUAAAACAGAUUAUUAUUAAAUAUAUUGGGUUGGGUCGUCCCAUCUAUAUAGGCUGAGCCCAGCCUGGUUGGGCUCGGCCCAAAAGAGUUAGACUCAUGUCAACCCAACAGUUCUUGUCUUUUUUUUUUUUUUGGGAUGGGCUGGGCUGGCACGAGAUUGGCCCAAACUCGAGAAAGGAAUUAUCCCCCCCAAAAGCUCUGCAUGCUGAACGAAUUACCGUUUUGCAUACAUAACGAAGACAAGGGGGGAACGAAGGAAAGAAGAAGGGAGAAGUUUACCUGGUAUGGGAAGCUGCUGGUGGAGAGGAUGGUGGUCACGCCGGCAGUGGGUUGCUAGAGGAGGAAGAAGGAGAAGUUUGCAGAGGAGAGAGAGAGAGAGAGCUCGGUUGUGCGCUUACUAUGUGAGGUGGUCGGGCAGUUGCUUGUGGUGGAGAUGGUGGUGGUUAAGUCGGUGGUGGGGUGUUGGUGGCUGAAGGCCACGGUAGAGAGAGAGAGAGAGUUCAUGGUGGCAGCAGAAAUGGGGGGGAAGGCUAAUUUCCCCCUUUUCGGGCCAUGAAAUCCACUCAUAUUUAUAAAGAGGUGGAAGAGGGAUGUUUCGUCUCUAUUGGUGCCAAAUCUUGGCUCUUAAUUCGACCCGGUAGGAUCCCAACCAUUAGCUCAAAGUAGCUAUCAUGGGCUGUCAGAUUUGUUACAGGAAAAUGGCUGGUCAGGUUGGCCACUUUGAGGCAGUGCUAUAGCCACUGUGGUAUCAAUCAGGUAGAACAGAUAACACUGGCAUGUAGCCAGGUGCUAGGUGAUCAUUUUCAUGUAACUUUUGUCCAAUUUAGUGGAGAGAUAAAGCAUAAAACGCCUCGGGAAGGAGGCCACUUGAGCAGCUUCUCUAGAGCAGAAGAUGAACAGUCAACCUCAAAACGGAGUCGUUUUGGCAAAGUUCAUUUAAAUCCUUCGGUUUCAGAUGUCUCUAAAUUACACCUCUGAUUGGCUUCAAACUUUUAAUUUUGUUCAAUUUCAGCCCUGGAUUUCAGUUUCUUUUUUCAUCUUGGUUCUUGAUUUUGGAUUUAUGCAAUUUUACUGUUAAUUGACCGUUAAACUUUCAAUUCUCUUCAAUUUCACCCCUGAUUUCUAUCGAUUGGGUUCCCAGAGUUUGACACCUUUUUCAAAAUGAUCAUUGGCUUUGAAUUUCUUCAAUUUAGUCUUUAAUUGACCUCAAAACUUUGAUUUUCUUGCAAUUUUACCCCUGAUUUCAAUCAAUUGACUUGAAAAAAAUUAAAUUUGGUCUUCUAAAAUUCCAUUCUUCUCAAUUAAGCCCAAAUUGGGCUCCCAAACUUAAUUUUUCACUUAUUAAGCCCCUAAUAAAAUUAAUUUGACCCAUUUAAAGAUAAUUAAGUCCUUGCACCUAAUUAAAUUCUUCAAUUGAACCCAAAUUAAUUUUUAAACAUAAUUAAACUUUAAUUUAGUCCAUGAUUAAAUCAAAUUGGCCUAUUAAGAAUCUAAUUAUGUCCCUAGGCUUAAUUUUUAUACAGAUUUGUCCAAUAAUGAUUUAAUUUGACCUUGAAUCUGCAUUGUCUCUCUCGUUUUGGGUAAAAUAAGGUACAAUUAGGCUCUCGAUUCCAUCCAAAAUUGUAGCUUGAUUUUUCUGUAUAUUUGUAAUCCUCCUCAGCCUACUUUUUCCAAAAUAUCAAUCUCUAUUUUUUUUGGAUUUUUUUUUAAAGAAAAAAGAUGAAUUUGGGGAAUAACCAAAAAACGAGUUAUAACAAUAAUGAUGAUAAAUGAUAAUCAAAUUAUUUUUUAAUUUGUCAAUGAUGCUAGCGUGUUGAGAAUUGUAAGUCUUCUCGUGUCCUUUUCAACUCUACUUGAGGGAAUAAUAACUUUUAUCCUUAAAAAAGUUAACAAAAAGCUAGAAGGGCUCGAAUAUUUAUUGUGGACUUAGAGAUAUAACUAUUAUGGAUUCAAAUAGUGGUGUAUUCCUUUUUUUUCUUUCUCAAUCUUAUCAUAGGUUGUGUGGCUUAUUUGAGGAAAAGUUUUAAAAACUUCCUCCUACUUUUCAACUAGGAAAAAGAGAGACAAGAAAUAAGGAGUAGAUACAAAUGCAAAGGAGGGAGCUUAGAAAAAAAAAAGUGUUAUUCUAAGGGGUUGUCUAAUUUGGCAACAAUAUAUUAAAUGGGAAAAAAAUUAGUUAAAAGGGUUCCAUGGUUUAAGAUUUGUUAUUUGUGUUUGAAUUUGAAUUUGGGAAUUAGGGUGGAAUUAGGAUUAGGGCUCCAUGGUUUUAGGUUUGUGAUUUGUGUUUCAAUUUAGGAACUAGGGUGGGAAUUGAGAAUCACGGUUUUAUUGAUGGGUUUGAAAAACAAGAAGGAGCAACACGAGAAACAGUUACAGGGUAAGUUUUCUCUUAUAGUUUUGUAAGAGUUCUUUUACAGCACAAACAUUAAUAAGAUUAUCACGAUUCUUUUAAUAAUUUAUCAUAAAUCAUACUAGACUUAAAAUUGCUAAACAAUCUUUUGAUUUUUAAUGAUUUAGGGUUCCAAUAAAAUAUUCUUAAUUUUGGAUAUUUUUCUAUAUACAUUUUUUUUCUCGAUCGCUUUUACACAUGACAAUUUUGCUCUGAUUUUGCUUUUUUAGGUUGUUAAUUAUUGAUGAGAAUCAUCAACUAACACCAGAGAAUUCAUUACAUGUGUCAAUUAGGCCUUUUACAUGGUCAAGAACUAAGAAGAUUAAAGAGGCAUCUAAUGAGAUAAUUCAAGAUAUUUGGGCUUUAUUUCCUACAAAACUUGCGAAUUCAAUUUAUUUUUCUACUUACACAUGGGUUGAACUUAUUUUUAUAAUGUCUAAUUUUAUGUUAAUAGGCAUAAUUUUUGACUCAAUCGUUUGUUCGGGCUAAAAUUUUACCAAGAUUAUAAAAACCUUUUUUCAUAUGGGGUUCAUUAGACUGUUGUAACGAUCAGAUAUUGGGAAAACCUUUUUAUAAAGCCUAGAAGUUAGUGUUCAAAAUAUGCAAUAUUUUUCUAGUCGAUUUAAGAUUCUUUUUCUUAUUUUAUUUGGAUUUUUUUGUUAUUUUUUCAGCCUUGUUAGUACAUUGUACCUAAUAUAAAUAAGGUUAUUUCACUUGUAUUUAGAUAGAUGAAUUAAUUAUUCAGAAACAAAACUUAUGUGUGAGAGUUUACUCUUACUCUUGAUUCUUUAUAAAACUUUUAAAACUUAUCAAAGAUUACUUCUUUGUAGCGCUCAUCUUUAUACCUUCGAUUAUUGGUUCAUUAUAAUCAACAAGUCAAGGUUUUCAACCUUAUACCUUCUAUUCGUGAUUCAUUAUAAUUAACAGGUCGAGAUCUUCAUCCAAUAACUAUAUUUUUUUGGUUUAGGUAAUCGUUAAAUCAUGUAUUUCCAAACUUGAUUUUUAUUUUCUCAGGUUGUGUUCAAUCUUGAUUGUGUAUUAUAAGGUUUUUACCCUCCGAGUUAACAUAAAUUGGUAUCAGAGCUUAGCUUUAAAAUUAGAUUUUAUCUAUGUACCUAUCUUUAAAUUCAUUUUUUAUUCAUGUUUUGAGUCUUGUUUCCUUUGUUAGGUUUGGUUUUCUCUCAAAAUUAUCGAACCCUGGUUCUUAUGUCUUGAAUUUCAACUUAUUUUGUAGUUUAGCUUAGUGUUGUGUUUUCUUUGAAUUAUAUAUAUAUAUAUAUAUAUAUAUAUAUAUAUAUAUAUAUAUAGAGAGAGAGAGAGAGAGAGAGAGAGAGAGUUAUUUGUUAUUUACGUUUCUGCUAAUAUUUAUUAAAAAAAGAUCAAAUCACAAAAUCAAGUUGAUUAAAAUUGGUUUUGUUGAAAUCGAUAGCCUUGAAAAAAAUUUCAUAUAGAUAUUAUUUAAAAGUGGUAAAAGCAAGUGAAGUGAUAUAUCUUUAAAUGCAAACAUAUAAAGGAAUGUGUGAGGGUCAUUACUAAUAUAUCUUACAACUUUAGAAUAUAUCUUUUAAAAUCAAGUCAACAUGCAAGCAAGGUAAUGAUUAAAGAUCGAAUUCUUUUAAGGAGAGGGAAUGGUGAAAAUCAUCAAUGAAUACCACAUGAUUCAUUACAUUUGUCAAUUGAGCUUAUUAUAAGGUCAAUAACUAAGAAGAUUAAAUAGGCAUUCAAUGAUCUCAUUCAAGUUAUUUGGGUUCUGCAAUGGUAUUCUUUGUUUUUCUUUAUUAGAUUUGCUUAUGUUGUUUCUACUGUGGGUUACGUUUAUAGGAUUGGGCUUUUGCUAAAAAAGCCCAAUUUUUUUUUAAAGAAUCCAGGGAUCAUUUUAGAAUUUUUUGUGGGUUCUUCACACUUUUUUUCUAGUUUUUUCACUUAAUAUCGAGACUGUAGACUUAUAUUGUAAAAUACUAACUCAAUCUUAAAUACUUGCUUUUCGCUGAAAUUUCAAAAAAAAAUCUAAAAAUUUCUAAAAAAAUUCUUCAUUUUUAAAAUAUAAAAAAUAUGUUUUAUUAUAUGUAUAUAUAGCCAAAUUCUGAAACUUUCAUGCAUAUUUUAUAUAAAAAAAAUUACAUUUUCAUUAUAUUUUGAAAAUAAAUAUAUAAAAAAAUCAAUUAAUAGAUAUCAGUAUAUCACAAUAAAUUUGCUAUUAUCCAUUAGGAUUUGUGUUAACUAAUUGGCUUAACAUAGAACUCCGAAACAAAAUAAAAGGAACCAAAUGACAGAUCGAUAUCACAGUGAUUAGGAUACUGAUUAAUGAGUGUUAUAGAACUUUUCAAGUGAGGAACAAAUUUAGUUACCUAAAUUAAUUGCAUUUCAGGAUGACUAAAACUUAAUUUGCAUUCCAGGAGAAGGGAAAAAUAUAUCGAAAAGUAUAUAGUGUAAAUGGUGGAUCCAAGAAAAUUUAUAAACAGAAAGGUGAAAGGUGCAGACUUUUCUCUCCAAUUUGUCUCCAAACUUAAGCCUGUUGCCUUCGCUCCUCUGCUUGCUCCAAUGCAUUGUAUUUUAGCAUGUCGUCCCUUCAAUAUUUUGCUUUCCAGUUAGCACCUUAUGGUUUCAUUUGCUUCCCUGUAUUAACAACGCUGGCGAAGCUUCUUUCCCACAGGAUCAAUGGCCAUCCAGCGUUACCAGCAUUUGAGCAACACAAGCAGACAUAAGUUGUUUUCUGACAAAAAGCUGCUUGUUCUAUCCUCGCUCCGACCACUGCCAAGUCGGCAUCAGCCUCUAAUGUGUCACCUCCCACCUCCCGAGUCCGAAGCCUUUUAUCUGGGUCAGUUAAACAUAUUGCUGUGCUCUAUUCUGGUUGAUGAACAAUGCCACCUGCUGAACAUAUCUGCUAAUAUCUCUUUUAUUGUCUCUUCAUAUUUUAAGAAAGCUUUGGAAUAGCUUCUUGAAUGCUGAACUGCUAUUUUUGAUUCCGUGCUAGCUUCUUGAAUGCUAGCUGAACUGCUAUUUUUGAUUCUGUGCUUGCAAUUUUGUAGUUUAAGAAAGCUUUGGAUUGCAAUUUUGUAGUUUAAGAAAGCUUUGGAAUAGCUUCUUCAAUGUUGAACUGCUAUUUUGGUUCUGUGUUUGCAACUGUUAUAGAAUGCGGUUUAAUUCAAUGUCAUCUCUCUUUUCACAUCCGUUUGGGAGGCCCGUGCCGCAACAAUCAAAAGAAAACCCCGCUCCGCUGCGGGAAAUGUAUCUAGUUAUUAUUAUCAAGAAACUAAAAUACUGACUUAACAAUUAAGAGUUGAUUUAGAAAUUAAUUAAGAACAAACUUGAUUUUUUAUUUUCAUUAUUAAUAGUUAAAUGACUUAAUUAGACUUAUAAAUAAAUAAAUAAAAUAUUAACUUUCAUCAAGGGGUUUUUAGAUAUUUUUAUUUUUCAAGCAUAAUUAUAUUACUAAAUUGUGAUAGGAAGCAACAAAAAUAAAGCUUUCUUCCCGGGGUUUUCCAUCUUUUUAUUUUGGUUUUUUUUUUAUGAUAAUCAAGUUGAUUUAAAAUAAAUUUUAUUUUUCAUAAAUAUAGAAUAUUAAUUAAAAGAAAAAAUGGUUGGUCAAAGUAUGAGAGUGCCCUACUAUUUAUAUUUCAUAUGUUAUUUAGUAUUGUUGUUUAUUUUAUUUAUUUUAUUGAUUCUUUUUUUUAAUUUUUUUCUUAAUCAUUAGAUUUCAUUUGAUUUUUAAAUCAAAUUCAAUCCUCAUUCUUUUAAUAUUUUUAUAUCCUUCCACUAAUUAAAUUUUAUUUUAAUUUCACCCUCAUCAUUUGAUUUUAAUUUUGUUUUCAUGUCGAAUUUGACUCCACUCUUUUUACUGUGUUUAUUUUGUUUUUGGAUGUCAUUUUAUUACUUUUUUAAAAAAAUUCAUAGGUUUUAAAGGUUAACACAUGUUGACUUUGAUCUUUUUAGGUCCUUUUAUAAAAUUUAUUUUUUUUAUAGCUGACCAAACCCAAUUACUUUUGGUUCUGGCCAAUGCCAUACCUAAUUGUAGAUGAGUCUUGCGCUGUCAGGCCUAAUAUUUGGGUCUGGUGUUGCCAAUUCCAUGUUUGGAUCUGGCAGCAUAUGUCAGACCGAACACUUGGCCCUGGCAAUAUGUCAAGCCCAAGUGUAACCUGUGUAUGGCGCCUACUAGACCCAAGCACCAUCUGGGUCUGGUAGGUGCUACCAAGCCCAGUAGCUUGGCCUGGCGCACUACCAAGCCAACAGGGUGAGCCUAAUACAUGUUUCCUGAAAGUGUUGAACCCGAUGAUUUUUGUCAUCAUAACUCAGGCAUCGCCAGAUUUGCUAUGCCCAUGAAUUCAAACAUAAUACAUGAAUCAAACGUCAUCAAUCUUAUAGAUUUUUAUGUAAAAUCUUAGAGGAUUUAUUUCUCAACAAACAGGCUUAAUUAAACAAGUCUACACCCCGCCAACACCAUUAGGUGUAUUAAAAUCUUUCAUGACCCGUCAUAUCUCCAUCUUUUAGCUAGAUAAAACGAGUGGAAUACAACCCACAAUACAACUCAAAAUAUCACAAAGAUAAAAUUACACUUCAAUCCCUCCUCUCCACAAAAGGACAAGACUCAUGAGUUAUAAAUACACCAUGAGACCUUCUAAACAAAAGUUCACAAUCUUCAUUCUCUAUUGCAUAUAUAUUUUCAGAGCAUCUCUCUCUAGAAUAUUAUUGUAUUUUCUCUCUCUAAAAAGAUACUUAUUUAAGCAUCGGAGAGUCUCCACCUUUAUCAAAGAGGACCUUUUGCAGGUAUUAGCCAUAAGCCACUUUGACCUACCAAGUAUCAAGCAUAAGCUAUCAACCAUCUUCACUAGGGAGAAUGGAUGAGAUUGUCAGGACCAAUUGAUUAAUCGAUUAUUCAACUCGGGAGCCUUGGUCCUAGGCUACUUUGAUUUUUUUAGGACUUAAUCAGUAGCACCGUCUGUGGGAACAUGAUAAAAAAAAAACCAUUGAUUUCUUCCUAAAACUUACUUUUGACAUUUUCAGGUCAUUCUAUGACAUACAACCAAUGCCCACCUGGGUUAGGACGCAAGACAAGUCUACUCACUACCGUAGACACUCCUACCCAGCAAGAGCUUUAACAACUCACUAGUGAGGUGCAACUCCUCACAUAGGCAAUAUUGGCAACUCAAGGGAAAAAUCAGACAUUUUCACCCCAACAAGUCUUAACACCCUCAACAACACACAAUGCUUUAACACCACGACCAUCAGCUGCACCAGAAGCCCGUAGAUGAUUACACUACCUAAAAAAGACCAGGAAGAAUGACAAUCGCAGGAGUUCCUUAAAGGAUCACUGGCAUAAUUGCGACACCCAUGCACAAAGCAAAUACUCUAAAUGAACUUCCCCUGGUUGUUAUGAGACGAACAUUAGUCACUGUAAUCGUCGUACGCCUAGCUCCCCAGGCUCCCAAAAGCCCAACAUAUAAAGAACUAAGCGACGGUUUAUGCAUGAGCAUAUCUAGGAGAAUGUCUAUAGCCACCAUUAAUGGAGAGGUUCUCCUUUGUCCAAAUACAUAUUGAACAUCGACUCUCUAAGGACUAUAUUUUCAAGGGAGUACAAAAUAUGCGCAAUAGCUUAGAGUUUGUCAUCCAAGAUUGUGACUCGAUGUGUAAGAUAUUUUCUAUAACCAUCAGAGGGUCUGUGCAUGCCCAAUAUAACAACUUGGAACCAAAAUCUAUUAAAGGGUUUAAUGAUCUUAGCGUCAAGCUAUAAGCACGCUUUAGUAUUAGUAAGGUUGUUAAAAUCGUGUUUUGACUCGUAAAAUAAUGUGAUUUUAAGAGUCAAAACAUCCUUUACGUGCUGAAUCGUUUGAAAAAAAAUCAAAAAUGGAUAAAUAGAUGAAAUUGGGUUGAAAUCAGGUGAAAUUGUUAAAAUCGGGUAAAAUCGCAAAAAUCACGAGUUCAGGAUUGAUUGAACGAUUUCACCAAAACAGAAGUAAAUGUUUCCCUCCAUGCUCCAACUGUCUGGCGCCUAUUGGCUGGGUACAGUCACACAUACGUGCCUAUGAGGCUGUGCCUAUGAGGCUAUGCCUAUAACGCCGAUGAGAACGAGGUGGCUUACGGGAAAACAACAGAUGCACACAAGACCACAAAUCUGUUUCAAGUGGAAUCAAUCACUGGCCGCCACAUGGCAAUGGAUAUUUGCUCAAUUUGCUUUAGUGUCUUCUCUGUUAUGUCCUUGUUUGUUUUCUUCUACAUCGAGAAAGUCAAAGAGGUCUCAAUAAAAUGAACAGGGCAGCAGAUAUCAUAUCAGACAAUAAGCUCAUAUAGCAUUUUCAAGUAGUGGGUACGCCAUGUUUUAUGUUCUUAAAUUUAUGUUGAGCUUUUUAUAUUGUCUUGAACUCAUAGGAAAUGAAACUGGUUUUAGUUUACAUGACACACCAGCAGAUUGUUUAUUUUAAGUUUGUUAAUUAUUAGUUAAUGAAAAGUUACUUAAAUUAUGUAUGAAUUUUUAUUUGACCCAUAUAUUUUAAGAUGCUUGAACUAUAUAUGAAUUUUUAUUUGAAGCAUGUAUUUCAAGGUGCUUGAAACUAUGUAUGAAUUUUUAUUUGUAGCAUGAAAUUUUUUUAUGUAUUUUAAAAUUCCUUACGAUUUUAUGAUCUAUUUUUACGAUCCGAGUUUAUUACUCCUUUUCCGUGCCGAGUUAAAAAUUUGUUUUUAACAACCUUGAGUACUAGCAUACCCGUAAAAAAAACUUCACAAAACACUUUUGUGCUCCCUACUAAGAAGGCAAGUCUCCAUAAAUAUAUUUGAGGAAAUUCAAUAAGAAGAUGCUUAAGGUAAAAUAAUUGCUCAGCAGCCUUAAAAGCUUUGAAAGAAGUUAAGGAAUAUGUCCUAUGAGGAAAGUUUAUAUAAUAACUUAUUCAAAAAUAACUUUUUAUUUUUUUCAGGUUGAAGUUCCCUCGUCAUUAAUCCUAGGAAUGUGUAUUCUUCUAGGAAAGGAAUGGACUUGGUCUGAUGUCUACAGAAGGAUUCUUGAUGAAGUGCACUAUUUAGGAUGCAGUGCACUAUUUAAUGUCUACAGAAAGAUACAAGAAGAUUAGUAAAUCAAUAUGACAUUUAGGAGCUGGUGUAGCAUAAUCAUUUUGGCUGCACCGACUUAAAGCGUACAUGAAUUCACUGUCUCUGAUACAACAGAUACCUCUUCUUUCCACUCACACAACAACAACAACAGAGAAAGGAAAGAAACUCUGCUGUGUCAGUUUAUACUAGGGACAGUUGAGGACAAACAAUGCACAGCCAUGGAUCUCUACCUCCAUAGAUAUUGAAUCUUUUAUGUCUCCAAAACCGAAACAUGACGUCGCAUUCAAGUUUUUCCCAGGAAGUGCCUUAGUCAGGUCUGAUAUCGUUGCUGAUAUUACUGUCUUCUCUGAGUUCAGAUUGAAAAGUGCAACAUAAAUCUCUCCUAAAA